CAGCCGCCGCGGGAAUACGAAGGGUGCAAGCGUUACUCGGAAUUACUGGGCGUAAAGCGUGCGUAGGUGGUGGUUUAAGUCCGUUGUGAAAGCCCUGGGCUCAACCUGGGAAUUGCAGUGGAUACUGGAUCACUAGAGUGUGGUAGAGGAUAGUGGAAUUUCCGGUGUAGCAGUGAAAUGCGUAGAGAUCGGAAGGAACAUCUGUGGCGAAGGCGACUAUCUGGGCCAACACUGACACUGAGGCACGAAAGCGAGGGGAGCAAACAGGAUUAGAUACCCGCGUAGUCCCUGUCUCUUAUAC
rnacentral:rRNA from 1 species